NCCGACCUCAAAUCAGGUAGGAGUACCCGCUGAACUUAAGCAUAUCAAUAAGCGGAGGAAAAGAAACCAACCGGGAUUGCCUUAGUAACGGCGAGUGAACCGGCAAAAGCUCAAAUUUGAAAUCUG
rnacentral:rRNA from 1 species